GACGAACGCUGGCGGCGUGCUUAACACAUGCAAGUCGAACGGUGAAGCUCCAGCUUGCUGGAGUGGAUCAGUGGCGAACGGGUGAGUAACACGUGAGCAACCUGCCCCUGACUCUGGAAUAAGCGCUGGAAACGGCGUCUAAUACUGGAUACGAGAAGGGUCCGCAUGGGCACUUUCUGGAAAGUUUUUCGGUUGGGGAUGGGCUCGCGGCCUAUCAGCUUGUUGGUGAGGUAAUGGCUCACCAAGGCGACGACGGGUAGCCGGCCUGAGAGGGCGACCGGCCACACUGGGACUGAGACACGGCCCAGACUCCUACGGGAGGCAGCAGUGGGGAAUAUUGCACAAUGGGCGAAAGCCUGAUGCAGCGACGCCGCGUGAGGGAUGACGGCCUUCGGGUUGUAAACCUCUUUCAGCAGGGAAGAAGCGAAAGUGACGGUACCUGCAGAAGAAGCACCGGCUGACUACGUG
rnacentral:rRNA from 1 species